UAUUUUAUGGAAAAUAUGUGUUUAAUUAAAAUAUAUUAAUUAUUAUAACUUGUGUUUAAUAUGAUAAUAAUCUUAAAUUUAACAUGAAAACAUUUAAAAAAUUAGUAGAAAUAUAUAAGCAAUUAUAGUUUUUGGUAAUAAAAACAAAAUCUAUUUAGCAAGCCAUAUUAAGUGUUGUUUUUGUGAGACAAGUUUUUUUUUGUUCUUUUCAAUAAAAAAAGAAUGCAUAUUCGCUUUGAUUCAAUAGCACAGUUAAUGAUUUGUAUGCCACGGCGAAUUUAUAAAUUUUGUUUUGUUUUGCUUUUUGUAGUACAGAUUCAUUAAAAAAUCAUAACAAACUAAAUUCUUUUUUAAAAAUAAAACAAAAAAGUGCAAAAACGUGCUAUAAAUAUGUAUUUAUGUUGUUUAUUUGUGUAUAACGAAGAGAAUAACCCUAUUAAAGAAUAUUAAUAAAAUAUAAAAAUAUUAAAAUAAAAUUUUAUAAAUACACUAAAUACUAUCAUUUAAAGUUUGGCGCCAAAAAAGGGGUUAAUAUUUUGGAAUAUAUUUACACGCCACGCGGUACUCCCUUAGUCAUUUUAGACAAUUAUCUAUAUCGUAAUAAUCGUAAAAAUUAUUGGCGUUGUUUUCGUUUCCUGAAAUUUAGUUGUAAAGCUCGCC
rnacentral:misc_RNA from 1 species